GUUUUUAUUUCCUAACUCUAUAGUAUAGGGAUAGAUACAGCAAUAUAUUCCUGUAAUUUAUCAGCUGUAAGCUUUGUACCCUCUAACUGGCUUCUGUAGGUAUUUGCCCAGGUGUAUGUGAGUCAGUUUUGUUUUUUUAAUGGAAUUUUUAUUUUCAGUGCCAUCACCCAUCUUGUGAGCUGUUGAGGGAGAACAACCACAGGCUGCAGAGGGAAAAUGAUUCUCUCAAGGCAAAAAUAGCAACAUUGAAAUUGCUGCCAGACGUUUUGCAGAAGAUGGAGGAGUUUCUCUGCUCAGCACCAAGACCAACGACAACACCAAUACCAACACCAACACCAAGACCAAGACCAAGACCAAGACCAGAACCAACACUAUCACCAGCACCAACAGCAGUUCCAGCACCAGCAACAGAAGACCCAUCACCAGCUCCAGGUCCAUCAUCAGCAUCAGCAACAGAGGCCCUGGGCCACUCUGUCAUUCCAAAAGGACUUGUGGAGCGCUGCUCCUUCCAAAGCCCCCAGAAGUUCAUAAAUUAUCUACUACAUGGGAUGUAUACCAGGGAAUAUAUGGCAGGCCAUUCAUCCAGCAGCUGCACAGAAGGAAAACCUGGCCUAGC